CGCCGCGUGGAGGAAGAAUGGCUUUUGCUUGUAAACUCCUGUAUGUGGGGAAAAAAUCUCUCCUUUGGCGAGGAUGAUGGUACCCUCGGGGUAAGCCCCGGCUAACUACGUGCCAGCCGCCGCGGGCAUACGUAGGGGGCAAGCGAUGUCCGGACUUAUUGGGUGUAAAGGGUGCUUAGGCGGAUUUGUAAGUCAGAGGUGAAAUCUCCCGGCUCAACCGGGAAACUGCCUUUGAUACUGCAAGCCUUGAGUGUGGAAGAGGAUGAUGGAAUAUCUGGUGUAGCAGUGAAAUGCGUAGAUAUCAGAUAGAACACCAAUGGCGAAGGCAGUCAUCUGGUCCAUAACUGACGCUAAAGCACGAAAGCGUGGGUAGCAAACAG
rnacentral:rRNA from 1 species